UUAUGGCCACAUCACAUUAAAACCUCUGGUACCCAUAUGAUCACCAAAAUUAAGCUAUGUCAAGCCUGGUCAGUACCUAGAUGGGUGACUGUUUGGGAAUACCAGGUGCUAUA